AAUUCAGUGGGCUGUGAACCAACACUGCAUGGAAACAGCACGAACAUGAACACACAAGAGAAAACAGUGAAGGCUUCAACAGAAGGUUCAGCAGGAACGAGGGAGGACUCUCAUGUCGACUCCUGGACUUACGCAGCUUUACAGUUUCCCAAGAAGGGAAGUGGAGUUUGUUUCUCAGACAAGUUGGUGUACUCUGAAGUGAUGUAUAU